rnacentral:rRNA from 1 species
UACGAAGGGGGCUAGCGUUGCUCGGAAUCACUGGGCGUAAAGCGCACGUAGGCGGAUUGCUAAGUCAGGGGUGAAAUCCUGGAGCUCAACUCCAGAACUGCCCUUGAUACUGGCGGUCUCGAGUCCGGGAGAGGUGAGUGGAACUGCGAGUGUAGAGGUGAAAUUCGUAGAUAUUCGCAAGAACACCGGUGGCGAAGGCGGGUCUCUGGGCCGAUACUGACGCUGAGGAGCGAAAGCGUGGGGAGCAAACAGG